rnacentral:rRNA from 1 species
CCUGGAAAACGGGUGGUAAUGCCGGAUGCUCCGGUUGGAUGCAUGUCCUUCCGGGAAAGAUUCUAUCGGUAUGGGAUGGGGUCGCGUCCUAUCAGCUUGAUGGCGGGGUAACGGCCCACCAUGGCUUCGACGGGUAGCCGGCCUGAGAGGGCGACCGGCCACAUUGGGACUGAGAUACGGCCCAGACUCCUACGGGAGGCAGCAGUGGGGAAUAUUGCACAAUGGGCGCAAGCCUGAUGCAGCGACGCCGCGUGCGGGAUGGAGGCCUUCGGGUUGUAAACCGCUUUUGAUCGGGAGCAAGCCCUUCGGGGUGAGUGUACCUUUCGAAUAAGCACCGGCUAACUACGUGCCAGCAGCCGCGGUAAUACGUAGGGUGCAAGCGUUAUCCGGAAUUAUUGGGCGUAAAGGGCUCGUAGGCGGUUCGUCGCGUCCGGUGUGAAAGCCCAUCGCUUAACGGUGGGUCUGCGCCGGGUACGGGCGGGCUGGAGUGCGGUAGGGGAGACUGGAAUUCCCGGUGUAACGGUGGAAUGUGUAGAUAUC